ACACUCCUACGGGAGGCAGCAGUGGGGAAUAUUGCACAAUGGGCGCAAGCCUGAUGCAGCCAUGCCGCGUGUAUGAAGAAGGCCUUCGGGUUGUAAAGUACUUUCAGCGGGGAGGAAGGCGAUAAGGCUAAUAACCUUGUCGAUUGACGUUACCCGCAGAAGAAGCACCGGCUAACUCCGUGCCAGCAGCCGCGGUAAUACGGAGGGUGCAAGCGUUAAUCGGAAUUACUGGGCGUAAAGCGCACGCAGGCGGUCUGUCAAGUCGGAUGUGAAAUCCCCGGGCUCAACCUGGGAACUGCAUUCGAAACUGGCAGGCUAGAGUCUUGUAGAGGGGGGUAGAAUUCCAGGUGUAGCGGUGAAAUGCGUAGAGAUCUGGAGGAAUACCGGUGGCGAAGGCGGCCCCCUGGACAAAGACUGACGCUCAGGUGCGAAAGCGUGGGGAGCAAACAGGAUUAGAUACCCUAGUAGUCCCAUG
rnacentral:rRNA from 1 species